rnacentral:misc_RNA from 1 species
GAUGAAGAACGCAGCGAAAUGCGAUAAGUAAUGUGAAUUGCAGAAUUCAGUGAAUCAUCGAAUCUUUGAACGCACCUUGCACCCUUUGGUAUUCCGGAGGGUAUGCUCGUUUGAGUGUCAUUGUACUCUCACACUUCUAAUUCCUUUCGGGAUUGGGAGCGGUGGACUUGGGUGUUGCUGCUUUAGUUGUGGCUCACCUCAAAUAAGUUAGUGCAACUCUUGGUUGGACAUAGUACGGCGUGAUAAGUGUCUUCGCCGGCGCCUCUGUAAGGAGGGUGGCCGAUCGGGAGCUCUGUGCUUCAAACCGUCUUCGGACAAUCUUUGACAACUUGACCUCAAAUCGAGUAGGACUACCCGCUGAACUUAAGCAUAUCAAUAAGCGGAGGA